AUCAUGGUUUUGCUGCCCUCUAGUGAGCAUACAUUUAACUACUACAGUUUCUGGUACUGUCUGAAAAAUGACAGUCAUAUCUUUUCUGGUUUACAAGGGAGAGGCCACAGCAGAGCAUCUAUCACUUUAAACACAUCUCAUACCUGUGUGAUGAGGUAGCCUUAGCCUGACCUCAUCACCAUUUUAAAAGGGGUUCAGCAGCGACACUGGUGUCAGGAAGUUUAUGGAGCAUCAGCCCCCCUGUUGGAAAGCCAGAGGUAGAUUUCCUCAGCCUUCACAAGCAUCUUCUGGUGACACCAUGGGUUGCCAACGAGGAGGUGAACACCGAGAGGACGGAGCUGGAGGCAAAUAGCCAAAGAAGAAAAAGAACGCCAUUAGGAAGAUCUUCAGCCGCCUCUGGAGGAUCAUAACGUGUUCCUCUGGGAUCUUCAGAGAGGACGACAACUGAGCUGCCUCCAUUGUAAAUAACUGUUUUACAAGUUGAUACCACCAACUGUAACAUCAUCAUGGCCAAUUAUAUCAUUUUAUGUAAAUAACCCAAAAAUAAAAACUCAAUUUUGCCAAAAAG
rnacentral:lncRNA from 1 species